rnacentral:rRNA from 1 species
AGUCGAGCGGUAACAGGAAUUAGCUUGCUAAUUUGCUGACGAGCGGCGGACGGGUGAGUAACGCGUAGGAAUCUGCCUGGCAGUGGGGGACAACAUGUGGAAACGCAUGCUAAUACCGCAUACGCCCUACGGGGGAAAGGAGGGGAUCUUCGGACCUUUCGCUAUCAGAUGAGCCUGCGUGAGAUUAGCUAGUUGGUGGGGUAAAGGCUCACCAAGGCGACGAUCUCUAGCUGGUCUGAGAGGAUGAUCAGCCACACUGGGACUGAGACACGGCCCAGACUCCGACGGGAGGCAGCAGUGGGGAAUAUUGGACAAUGGGGGCAACCCUGAUCCAGCCAUGCCGCGUGUGUGAAGAAGGCCUUAGGGUUGUAAAGCACUUUCAGGAGUGAGGAAGGGUGUACGGUUAAUACCCGUAUAUUUUGACGCUAACUCCAGAAGAAGCACCGGCUAACUCUGUGCCAGCAGCCGCGGUAAUACAGAGGGUGCAAGCGUUAAUCGGAAUUACUGGGCGUAAAGCGCGCGUAGGCGGUUUGUUAAGUCGGAUGUGAAAUCCCAGGGCUCAACCUUGGAAUGGCACCCGAUACUGGNCAGGCUAGAGUACGGUAGAGGGGUGUGGAAUUUCCUGUGUAGCGGUGAAAUGCGUAGAUUUAGGAAGGAACAUCAGUGGCGAAGGCGA